rnacentral:rRNA from 1 species
GACAGAGGGUGCAAACGUUGUUCGGAAUUACUGGGCGUAAAGCGCGCGUAGGCGGCCCUGCAAGUCGGGUGUGAAAUCCCACGGCUCAACCGUGGAAGUGCACUCGAAACUGCAGGGCUAGAGUCCUGGAGAGGAAGGUGGAAUGCUUGGUGUAGAGGUGAAAUUCGUAGAUAUCAAGCGGAACACCGGUGGCGAAGGCGGCCUUCUGGACAGUGACUGACGCUGAGACGCGAAAGCGUGGGGAGCAAACAGG